rnacentral:rRNA from 1 species
CAGUAGCCGCGGGAACACGAAGGGUGCAAGCGUUAAUCGGAAUUACUGGGCGUAAAGCGUGCGUAGGCGGUGAGUUAAGUCUGCUGUGAAAUCCCCGGGCUCAACCUGGGAAUGGCAAUGGAUACUGGCAAGCUAGAGUGUGUCAGAGGAUGGUGGAAUUCCCGGUGUAGCGGUGAAAUGCGUAGAGAUCGGGAGGAACAUCAGUGGCGAAGGCGGCCAUCUGGGACAACACUGACGCUGAGGCACGAAAGCGUGGGGAGCAAACAGGAUUAGAUACCCCCGUAGUCCCUGUCUCUUAUAC